rnacentral:tRNA from 1 species
GGGCCUGUUGUCCAACGGUAAGAUACCUCGCUUGCACCGAGGAGACCUGAGUUCGAUUCUCAGAUGGUCCA